CAUUUUCUUCCUGUUGAGGUGUUGACGACGAAAGGCCGCAGCCAUCACUCCAUUCUAGCUAGAGACUACUUCCGGGAUGCCUGGUGAUGUCACGACACGAGCUGAUCACGUGAGUGACCUAUGGUCACGUGAGCGGAACAUCAAGACAGGACAAGGCAGGACUUCCUUGAAUAAAAGUGUAUAUUUGACACACAUCUUUGUACACUGGUAAUUACAAAACAGUCUGCUACGCUACAAAAGUUCCUCAAAUGUUUUUUUGUUGUUGUUUUGGUCAGAAGAUUGAAUCAUCCCGUCUCAACUGUUGUGCAAUUGUGAACACACGCGUAUUUACAAAGUCUUACGCCCGUAAGUGAUUUCCAUUGUCUCUCCGAUAAACUCUGAACAUAAGACAUGGCUUUGAGAUAAAUAUAUUAGUAAAUAAAUAUUCAGAGAACAUAUUUCCAUUCAUGAAAUGCUUUUUUUGCUGUACAUGUACACAAAUAUACACAAGGUUGAUGUCGUAAAACAUUCGUAAAUGAGACUGACUGACGGACAAAUAAUUAUACUCUUUCUUACAUUUUUGUUUUUUUUUACAAAAUAUUCAUUUGUACACAAUUUCAUCUUUUUAAGUGCUACAAACAUGAAAAAAAAAAAAACAUUAAA